AGUUUGACUGUGGCUCAGAUUGAACGCUGGCGGACAGCUUUACACAUGUAAGCGAACGGCAGCACGGACUUCGGUCUGGUGGCGAGUGGCGAACGGGUGCAGUAAUGUAUCGGAACGUGCCUAGUAGCGGGGGAUAACUACGAAAGCGUAGCCAAUACCGACACACGACUUCGGGGGAAAGCGGGGGGACCCGGGCCUCGCACCACAGGGAGCGGCCGAUAUCGGAUUAGCUAGUUGGUGGGUAACGGCUCACCAAGGCGACGAUCCGUAGCCGGUUUGAGAGGACGACCAGCCACACUGGACUGAGACACGGCCCAGACUCCUACGGAGGCAGCAGUGGGGAAUUUUGACAAUGGGAGAACCCCAUCCAGCCAUCCUUGCGUGCGAUGAAGGCCUUCGGGUUGUAAAGCACCUCUUUGGCAGGAAAGAAACGGCACGGGAUAAUACCCCGUGCAACUGACGGUACCUGCAGAAUAAGCACCGGCUAACUACGUGCCAGCAGCCGCGGUAAUACGUAGGGUGCAAGCGUUAAUCGAAUUACUGGGCGUAAAGCGUGCGCAGGCGGCUCGGAAAGAAAGAUGAAUCCCAGAGCUUAACUUUGAACUGCAUUUUUAACUACCGAGCUGUAGAGGUAAGCCGUGAGGGAGGUGAAUUCGCGUGUAGCAGUGAAAUGCGUAGAUAUGUGGAGGAACACCGAUGGCGAAGGCAGCCUGGAUAACACUGACGCCUGCGUAUCGAAAGCGUGGGGAGCAAACAGGGAUUAGAUACCCUGGUAGUCCACGCCCUGGGUGAUGUCAACUAGCUGUUGGGGCCUUCGGGCCUUGGUAGCGCAGCUAACGCGUGAAGUUGACCGCCUGGGGAGUACGGUCGCAAGAUUAAAAUCCCAAAGGAAUUGACGGGGACCCGCACAAGCGGUGGAUGAUGUGGAUUAAUUCGAUGCAACGCGAAAAACCUUACCCACCCUUGACAUGUCUGGAAUCCCGAAGAGAUUUGGGAGUGCUCUUCGCAAGAGAACCGAACACAGGUGCUGCAUGGCUGUCGUCAGCUCGUGUCGUGAGAUGUUGGGUUAAGUCCCGCAACGAGCGCAACCCUUGUCAUUAGUUGCUACGAAAGGGCACUCUAAUGAGACUGCCGGUGACAAACCGGAGGAAGGGGAUGACGUCAAGUCCUCAUGGCCCCAGGGUAGGGCUUCACACGUCAUACAAUGGUCGGGACAGAGGGUCGCCAACCCCGCGAGGGGGAGCCAAUCCCAGAAACCCGAUCGUGGUCCGGAUCGCAGUCUGCAACUCGACUGCGUGAAGUCGGAAUCGCUAGUAAUCGCGGAUCGCGAUGUCAGGUGAAUACGUUCCCGGGUCUUGUACACACCGCCCGUCACACCAUGGAGUGGGUUUUACUCGGUAUAAAGCUAGCCUAACCGUAAGGAGGGCGAUUACCACGGUAGGAUUCAUGACUGGGGUGAAGUCGUACAGCGUAAC
rnacentral:rRNA from 1 species